GGGCAGCGACGACAUCUCCUCCACGUCUCUUCAAUUUUUGGCGCGAGCCUUUGCUCGGCCGACGUCGGUUUCCUGUGCUGAAUACCUAUUGCGAUGGCAUUAUGUCGGCUAUGUUUGUCCCCUUCCCACCUUGUUCCGCUGCUCCGCGUGGGCGUGCGGUGCGGGGCGGGCCAAAUCGCGCGCGUCGUGUGUCGCACCGCGUUCGCCCCUUGGGGCGUUCGGUUUGUCGACCCACGACGUGUUGCUCGGUCUCUCGGGUACGGUGCAUCAUGUGGGUACGAGGCCAUCGGCCUCCGAGCACCACAAUCAAGCGUUCUACGCUUCGUGCGAACGACCGUCGGCUCGUCUUUGGCCGUGCUCUCGUAGCUCGGUUCAAGUCGG
rnacentral:misc_RNA from 1 species